UGAUUAUUCAAAAAUUUCACCUUUUGGCUUUAGACCUUAACAUGCAUAAGAUGCAACUCAGUGUGUUUAAUGUUUGGUCUCCAAAGCUGAGUGAUGUGCUCCACAAGAAGACCUACUUUAUCAAAUACCCGAGACACAUCUUAGAGACUAAGGUGUGAAAGAAUGAAUGAGUGAAAAUGUUUUAAUAAAAGGAAACUAGAAAUCAAAUAUUUGUAUAAGGACAGAUUUGAGGUUUUUCUGUACUUUUAAUGAGCUAGAAAAUGCAUACUAUAAAUAGAAUAUACAAAUGAUUUUACACAAAUGAAGCAUUAAAAAUCACAAAUCUUAUAUUUGGUUAUCCACAGUCUAUAAAAUAAUGUUCCCAAAUUAUAUAGUUUAAAAUACACAAUGUUUCAAGUUGCAAGACAAAACCAGGGUAGUUUUGGCCCUAAAUCAUAGCUAACAUAAGUAGGAAUUAUAAUUAAUUUUAUAAUUGUGUUUAAAUUUUAAAUACUCUAGAAUCUGAAAAUAUUAAAUAUUAAAUAGAUGGAGGGAUCAAAUUAUCAAGUUUUUUAACAAAAUUGAGGUAAAAAUCUGCAUUAAAUUACACCAAGAAAAACAUUUCUAAAACAUUGUUUCCAUAACUCAUUAUAAAUAUUUCAUCUUCCGAAAGUACUCUUUGAUUACCUCUGGCCUUCUGGGUCUGGUAAUUAAGUUGACUUAAUAUUUGCACAUAGCUACUGAUUACUCAAUACAGGCCUAUCAGAUAAAACUAAAAUGCUGCAACUUAAUCAGAAUGAUGCAAUCUUGUCUUAUAUAAAUAUACAAAUCACAGUAUGCUGACACUAGAUAACUUCAGCUUUAUUUGCCAAAGGGGAUUUAGAAUAUACUACAAAAUUGUAUAUAAAAUAACCCUUUACAAGGAUUUACUAGGAUGACUGCAAAGAAAGGCAAAUUAAAUAUACCUGGUCCCAUAUAAGAAUUGUUGCCUAACCUCAUAUACUAAUUUGAAUAUGAAGACUCACUUUUUAUUUCUUAUUUUUUUGAAACAGGGUCUCGCUCUGUCACCCAGGCUGGAGUGCAGUGGUGUGAUCUCAGCUCACUGCAACCUCUGCCUCUUGGGUUCAAGCGAUUCUCCUACCUCAGCCUCACAAGUAGCUGGGACUACAGGCGUGCACCACCAUGCCUGGCUAAUUUUUUGUAUUUUUAGUAGAGAAGGGGUUUCUCCAUGUUGGUCACACUGGUUUUGAACUCCUAAUCUCAGGUGAUCCACCCGCCUCGGACUCCCAAAGUGCUGGGAUUACAGGUGUGAGCCACCGCACCUGGCCUGAAUAUAAAGACUCAUUUUAAAUUAUACUAGUUGAACCUUUAUACUACAAUGUAUCCUGGCACUUAUUUUUUUUAAACCAUUAUCAGAUAUUUCAUGUUCUACUAGUAAAGGGAAUUCGCAUUUUCAAUGUCCUGUCUGCAUUCCUCCUAGCCUCUCUCUGCUCAGGUUUUGGAAAAUAGAUCUUUCAAAUGCAAUUGCAGUAUCCAAGGAAAUUCCUCCCACCCAUGCCACCAGUGCUCAUCCUGUGGGCACCCCACAGUCAGCAGUUUAAGACCAUUCUGGAUGAAUGCAAAUGCUUGAUUCAAUUUUCCCAAAUCCCAAUCAACUAGCUACAGUUUUUAUUGUAUGCAAUCUUCCCAACAUUGCAGUAAAGCAGUCUAGAUGGCUGGGGAAAGGUAAAAGAACCCCGGUUGUGAUUAUUUUUUUCUAACAAAAUGGAAUUAAAAGAUGAGAAAACCUCGUAGUAUUUUAGUCUGGUACUUUUAGCAUCCCCAACUUUUAAGAUUAUAAAUUCACAAUAGUGAACACCCUAGUGACAACUUUUAAAUAAAAUACUGGAUAGCUGGGCGCAGUGGCUCACACCCGUAAUCCCAGCACUUUGGGAGGCCGAGGCGUGUAGAUCACUUGAGGUCAAGAGUUCAAGACCAACCUGGCCAACAUGGUAAAACCUCCUCUCUACUAUAAAUACAAAAAAUUAGCUGGGCGUGGUGGUGCAUGUCUGUAAUCCCAGCUAUUCGGGAGGCUGAGGCAGGAGAAUCACUUGAACCCAGGAGGCAGAGGUUAGAGUGAGCCGAGAUCGUGCCACUGCACUUCAGCCUGGGCAAUGGAGUGAGACUCUGUCUCAAAAAAAAUAAAAAAUAAAAAAUAAAAUACUGCAUAAUUACAUGCUAUAGUAAAUUAAUCAUACACUCAAAAUUUUAGCUUGGAUUUGUUUUGCAACUGAUUUGAUGCUGUCUGAAAAUCAAGAUCAAGCAGGUGAUGAAAACUAUACCUUUUGAACAUGCAUUAGGUAACCAGGGGGCAACAGAGUAGGGACUAAUAAGGCCAGCAACUCAGGGAAAUUAGCCUAUUCAUCUGAUAUAUUUGGCCUCCAUAAAACUGCCAUGGAUUCCAACUGUACUCAAAUAUAAUACAACUUCUUCAAUGCUGCUUUAUAAAUCUGACUGAAAACCUUAUUUAAGGAGUCAAGAUGCUGAACACCCUAACAAAAGCAAAAACAAAAUUACGGCCUAUGUGGUGUCACUGUUAUUACCACUCUUUACAAAGCACUAAGUACACAUAGGUGUUUGGCAUUGUCUCUGGAACUACAAAACUAUGGCCUAUGUGGUGUCACUGUUAUUCACUCUUUACAAAGCACUAAGUACACACAGGUGUUUGGCAUUGUCUCUGGAACUACAAAACUACGGCCUAUGUGGUGUCACUGUUAUUACCACUCUUUACAAAGCACUAAGCACACACAGGUGUUUGGCAUUGUCUCUGGAACUACAAAAUUAAACUUUUAGAAUCACAGCAUUUUACACCUGAGAGGAAUCUUAAAAGAUACUGAAUUUCGCUUCUCACUUUAUAGCUGAGAAGAGUGAGGGAAGGACGGACCAUGGGAGUCAGCAUUUUUCAAGCAUCCAGGCACGCUGGGCCUGGUAUUUCAAUUAGAGUUUCUCAUUCUCACAGUCUCAGGCAGGUUGCAUUAACCUCCACUUCACAGCUAAGUAAAUGCGGAUCUACCAGAUUGAAUAAUCUCCCCCAAAUAAAUUCACUAAUGAGGAACAGAAGGAAUCCAACGUCAGAGUUAGUGCUCUUCUCAGAGUAAUAAUCUGCAAAGUGUGGUCCUGGGACCAGCAGCUGGGGCAUUACCUGGACGCUUGUUAGAAAGGCAAAUUACCAGGCCCACCAUCCCCACCGCCAGACCUACUGAAUCAGAAACUCUAGGGUGGCCCCCAGCAAUCAAGUUUUUGGUUUUGUUUUUUUAACAGACAGGGUCUCACUUUGCUGCCCAGGCUGGACUGCAGUGGCCCAAUAAUAACUCACUGCAGCCUCGAACUCCUGGGUUCAAGUGAUCCUCCUGCCUCAGACUCCCAAGCAGCUCAGACUACAGGUAUGCACUACCAUGCCUGUUUGUUUUUUGUUUUUGUUUUUGUAGAGACAGGGGUCUUGCUGUAUUGCCCAGCCUGAUCUUGAACUCCUGGGCUCACGUGAUCCUCCUGCCUCAGUCUCCCAAAGCACUGGAAUUACAGGCAUGAGCCUGUGUUCUCCCCUCUCUUCCAAUAAUGUGUAUUCAACAAGGCCUUCAGGUGAUGCUGAUGCUGUCUGAAAGCCACUGCUCUCCAGCAUGUGGUCUCUGAAACUUUACUUAGGAGUAUGCAUAUUAAAAUAUAUAUAUAACUUAACACUAUGCUACUACAAAGGGCAAAAUAAUUCACUUUAUUGUACUUUAUUUUAGAAUAAUUAAGACAAGGAUAGGCUUCAAUGAAAUUUUGCUUUGAUGUUACAUGGUCUGACUGACACUGGAUUUCUUCAUAAGAAAAAUAAAUGUGAAAGCUAUUCCAAGUAAGCAAAUGGUGGCAAAAACAAUCUAAAGAAUUGGUUUUAGCCAGGCAUGGUGGCUCAUCAUUUACUGUUAAGGCUGCCUCAUUUUUCAGCUUUGUUGUAGUUGAGAUUCUGAUGUUCACCUAACAAAGUCCCUGACAAAACAGACUUCCUUCAAUCCAGGUCAUAAUUUGAAACGUUAUACAAUAAUGAGAUUUAAGUGAUGAAUGGAAAGAAAAGAAGGAGACUGAAAAGAUAUCAGAAAUUUCUAUUUGUUUUUAGAUUCAGAAAAAUAUAAUUACAGGCCAACAUGGGUCUGACAGAGAGGAAGGACGUCAGCAGUUAC
rnacentral:lncRNA from 10 species